rnacentral:rRNA from 1 species
UACGUAGGGUGCGAGCGUUAAUCGGAAUUACUGGGCGUAAAGCGUGCGCAGGCGGUUAUGUAAGACAGAUGUGAAAUCCCCGGGCUCAACCUGGGAACUGCAUUUGUGACUGCAUAGCUAGAGUACGGGUAGAGGGGGAUGGAAUUCCGCGUGUAGCAGUGAAAUGCGUAGAUAUGCGGAGGAACACCGAUGGCGAAGGCAAUCCCCUGGACCUGUACUGACGCUGAGGCGGCGAAAGCCAGGGGAGCAAACGGG